rnacentral:lncRNA from 1 species
CAGGCAUGCGCGGAUGUCCGCCAGCAGGCGAGUCAUGGCGGCGUCAACAUCGUUCUGCCGCUGGGCCGCAGCAGCUGUCGCACCGCCGCUGCCUUUUUGGAAGAGCGUGUCGCCGCCAUAGCCGGUGCCGGAGCUUGUGCCGCCCUUCCUCGCUUUUGGUGACGCCACCUUCUUGGAUUCUGAUGAAACGCCUGCACAAACGCACUCACUCAUCGUGCAUGUUCACGCUACCAUCAGGCAACACCCCUAGAGGCCUAUAUAUUGGAGCUGCUCGUGGGUAAAACUAAAAACUGUGGGGUCCUCUCAAUGCACAGUAGAGCCCAAAGACACUCUUGGGUGGUGAGGUAAUAUACAGCAUGCGCUGACCAGGCAUGCGCUGGUCAACGGUGAGCUUGCAGUGCAGCCGGUAGAUGAGGUUGCACAGCCGCACGCAUCGCUCCUUCUCUGCCGCUGCGGCCUGUCCCGAGGUGCCCACGGCGCCGCCAGUAAUAGCGGCUCCCGACCCAAGC